rnacentral:rRNA from 1 species
GACGGAGGCUGCAAGCGUUGUCCGGAAUGAUUGGGCGUAAAGCGCCCGCAGGCGGCCGUUCAAGUCUGCUGUCAAAGUCCGGGGCUUAACUUCGGAAAGGCAGUGGAAACUGAACAGCUAGAGUAUGGUAGGGGCAGAGGGAAUUCCUGGUGUAGCGGUGAAAUGCGUAGAGAUCAGGAAGAACAUCGGAGGCGAAGGCGCUGUGCUGGACCAUAACUGACACUCAGGGACGAAAGCUAGGGGAGCGAAUGGG